CGGCGCAGAACCUGCAAUUCCCCAAAAUCGACCACAUUUCUGCAACGUUCACCUGUGGGCCACAGCUCUUCAAGGCCAACCUCUGCCGCUGUUAUGCCAUGACCAACGGGGUAAAGACCCAUAAGUUGUUAGUUGUGGAGAGCUGUAUGGUACAGUGGUACUGAAGGAGGAAGACUGUGUCGUGAGACGGUCCCAGAGCAUCUCAACCUGAGGAGCAGUGAAGUCUCCACAGAGAGCUUCAGGGUCACCUGGGAACACUCAGGCCAAGACGUGCUCCUUUACAGACUGUUCUGGAUCCCAACCAGAGGGGGAGACACUAAAGAAGUCUGUCUGUCAGGUUUUCUGUCUGUGAAGAUGCCGAUGAAUGGUAACAUGAACACCUACAUUGAAUACAAGGAGGCAAGUUUGAAAGUGACACCAUGACCAUCAAAGUGUCAACAGGUAAACUACAGGAUAUAUAGCUAAUGUAACCGCUCUCAAAAGACUUUGUAAUUGCACUUUUGCACAUUGAGCAUAACAGGGUCAAUGUAGUUGAUUAUAGUUGAGUAUGUAUAGUAUAGUGAUACUAUUGGGUAACGUUUAGGUGGAAAAAGACUUGGGUUUACCAAAAAAUUAUACAAAAAAGACAGCAGAGUUUACAAAAAUAUUACAUGAGGAACAAUUUAGAAAUAACUUGAAAUGGGAAUUUUUAUGUUUGUGCUUUUCUGAUAACUAAUUUCUGUGUUUGUGCAAGUGACUGAUUUAACGAAUCCUCACCUAUCAGUAUCUGCAAUUUGGCAGUACACCCAGACCUUGUUUUGAGAAAGAACAAAAUAUAUCUCAGUUUCAAGGUCUCAGUUUAGAGAGAAGAAGCCUCGUGAGGUGUUGGUCUGCCACAUGUUAUGAACCAGUAUUGGUCGGUGACAUGAAUGAAACAAAACGGUAAUGAUUAAUUAUGCUAAAUCAUACAAAUAUAAUUUGUCUGUGUAUAGCCGUAUAUAAGACAACUGCUGGAACUGUCCAGGAAGAGCUUGUGAUUGACUUGUGUAUUAUGGUGCCGUUACACCCUGAUCUGUUUCACCUGUCUUUGUGCUUGUCUCCACACCCACCAGGUGUCUCCCAUCUCCCCUCAUUAUCCCCUGUGUAUUUAUACCUGUGUUCUCUGUUUGUCAAUUUGUUUUGUACUUCAAGCCUACCAGCUGUUUACCCGUUGCGCCUGUCUUAUCUAUAGUUCCUGUUUUCCCGGUUUUGACCAUUCUGCCUGCUCUGACCCUGCCUGCCGUCCUGUACCUUGCCCCACUACACUGGAUUAUUGACCUCUGCCUGCCCUGAGACUGUCUGCCGUUCUGUACCUUUUGGACACUCUGGAUUACUGACCUUUGCCUGCCCUUGACCUGUCAUUUUGCCUGGCCCCUGUUCUAGUAAUAAAAUGUUGUUACUUCGACACUGUCUGGGUCUUCCCUAAAACGUGGUAGGUGCAUUGAGUUGGUUGGAACCUCUCCAGCACACUUACAAUAAAUUAUGA